ACAUCUGAGCUCAUGAACUCUCAUCAGUAUCGCCUCCAGUCUUUUGGGCCUGCUUGGAACCUUUACUUUCUUUGGCUGACCUCGAAACCCGUCCUGGCUGGGUCACAGCCAGGACAACAGCCUUGUUUCCACUGGAGAGCCUGGGUGCAUUCUAUGGCAGUGAUUUAACCAAAGAUUUCCCCCAGACCUGAUUUUACCCACUGCCCCUUGCUACCUCUGA
rnacentral:lncRNA from 1 species